rnacentral:rRNA from 1 species
UAGGUGAACCUGCGGAGGGAUCAUUGCUGGAACGCGCUUCGGCGCACCCAGAAACCCUUUGUGAACUUAUACCUAUUUGUUGCCUCGGCGUAGGCCGGCCUCUUCACUGAGGCCCCCUGGAAACAGGGAGCAGCCCGCCGGCGGCCAACUAAACUCUUGUUUCUAUAGUGAAUCUCUGAGUAAAAACAUAAAUGAAUCAAAACUUUCAACAACGGAUCUCUUGGUUCUGGCAUCGAUGAAGAACGCAGCGAAAUGCGAUAAGUAAUGUGAAUUGCAGAAUUCAGUGAAUCAUCGAAUCUUUGAACGCACAUUGCGCCCUCUGGUAUUCCGGAGGGCAUGCCUGUUCGAGCGUCAUUUCAACCCUCAAGCCUGGCUUGGUGAUGGGGCACUGCCUUCUAACGAGGGCAGGCCCUGAAAUCUAGUGGCGAGCUCGCUAGGACCCCGAGCGUAGUAGUUAUAUCUCGUUCUGGAAGGCCCUGGCGGUGCCCUGCCGUUAAACCCCCAACUUCUGAAAAUUUGACCUCGGAUCAGGUAGGAAUACCCGCUGAACUUAAGCAUAUCAAUAAGCGG